rnacentral:rRNA from 2 species
UCGCGGUGGCGGAGCGUCGUUUGCGACGCCCAACACACAAAACAAGCGGUGAGUGCUUUGGGGUGGGGUGACUGCGUACCUUUUGUAUAAUGGGUCAGCGACUUAUAUUCUGUAGCAAGGUUAACCGUAUAGGGGAGCCGAAGGGAAACCGAGUCUUAACUGGGCGUUAAGUUGCAGGGUAUAGACCCGAAACCCGGUGAUCUAGCCAUGGGCAGGUUGAAGGUUGGGUAACACUAACUGGAGGACCGAACCGACUAAUGUUGAAAAAUUAGCGGAUGACUUGUGGCUGGGGGUGAAAGGCCAAUCAAACCGGGAGAUAGCUGGUUCUCCCCGAAAGCUAUUUAGGUAGCGCCUCGUGAACUCAUCUUCGGGGGUAGAGCACUGUUUCGGCUAGGGGGUCAUCCCGACUUACCAACCCGAUGCAAACUGCGAAUACCGAAGAAUGUUAUCACGGGAGACACACGGCGGGUGCUAACGUCCGUCGUGAAGAGGGAAACAACCCAGACCGCCAGCUAAGGUCCCAAAGUCACAGUUAAGUGGGAAACGAUGUGGGAAGGCUCAGACAGCCAGGAUGUUGGCUUAGAAGCAGCCAUCAUUUAAAGAAAGCGUAAUAGCUCACUGGUCGAGUCGGCCUGCGCGGAAGAUGUAACGGGGCUAAACUGUGCACCGAAGCUGCGGCAGCGACGCUUAUGCGUUGUUGGGUAGGGGAGCGUUCUGUAAGCCUGCGAAGGUGUCCUGUGAGGGAUGCUGGAGGUAUCAGAAGUGCGAAUGCUGACAUAAGUAACGAUAAUGCGGGUGAAAAGCCCGCUCGCCGGAAGACCAAGGGUUCCUGUCCAACGUUAAUCGGGGCAGGGUGAGUCGACCCCUAAGGCGAGGCCGAAAGGCGUAGUCGAUGGGAAACGGGUUAAUAUUCCCGUA